rnacentral:rRNA from 1 species
AUACGUAGGGAGCGAGCGUUGUCCGGAAUGAUUGGGCGUAAAGGGCGCGUAGGCGGCCCGGUAAGUCUGGAGUGAAAGUCCUGUUUUUAAGAUGGGAAUUGCUUUGGAUACUGUCGGGCUUGAGUGCAGGAGAGGUAAGUGGAAUUCCAGUGUAGCGGUGAAAUGCGUAGAGAUUGGGAGGAACACCAGUGGCGAAGGCGACUUACUGGACUGUAACUGACGCUGAGGCGCGAAAGUGUGGGGAGCAAACAGGAUUAGAUACCCUGGUAGUCCACACUGUAAACGAUGAAUGCUAGGUGUAGGGGGUAUCGACCCCUUCUGUGCCGCAGUCAACACAAUAAGCAUUCCGCCUGGGGAGUACGGCCGCAAGGUUGAAACUCAAAUGAAUUGACGGGG